rnacentral:rRNA from 1 species
CCUACGGGAGGCAGCAGUGGGGAAUAUUGCACAAUGGGGGAAACCCUGAUGCAGCGACGCCGCGUGAGUGAAGAAGUAUUUCGGUAUGUAAAGCUCUAUCAGCAGGGAAGAAAAUGACGGUACCUGACUAAGAAGCCCCGGCUAACUACGUGCCAGCAGCCGCGGAAAUACGUAGGGGGCAAGCGUUAUCCGGCUUUACUGGGUGUAAAGGGAGCGUAGCCGGCAGCGAAAGUCUGAAGUGAAAUCCCAUGGCUUAACCAUGGAACUGCCUUGGAAAGUGUGCAGCCGGAGUGCAGGAGAGGUAAGCUGAAUUCCUAGUGUAGCGGGGAAAUGCGUAGAUAUUAGGAGGAACACCAGUGGCGAAGGCGGCUUACUGGACUGUAACUGACGUUGAGGCUCGAAAGCGUGGGGAGCAAACAGGAUUAGAUACCCUGGUAGUC